UUUCCGUAGGUGAACCUGCGGAAGGAUCAUUAUUGUGUAAACUAAUUCCGGUGACUGACUCUUGCCCGGAGUGUGGGGGACGCUUGAGUUCCCUCACACGCAUCCAACGCACCCAUUUGUGCGCCAGCCCAAGGAUACCCAAUACUCUUAUUAACGGAUCUGCUGGUUUUUGCACCCAUGCUGUAUGUACAAGAUAGGAUGAGUAUUUGUUUGUUGCGAAGACGCGAUUAGUACAACUGUCAACCACCGAUCGCUUGACUCUCGCAUCGAUGAAGAACC
rnacentral:misc_RNA from 1 species